GGACAUGAGUCAGGCAAGGCUACCCGCUGAAUUUAAGCAUAUAAGUAAGCGGAGGAAAAGAAACCAAAUGGGAUUCCCCUAGUAAUGGCGAAUGAACAGGGAUCAGCUCAAAUUGAGAAUCGUCGCCAUCUUGAUAUGGCGGUGAAUUGUAGUCUGAAGGUGGUUACCAGUGAGGACGCCAGAGUAAUUCUCUUGGGAUAGAGCUUCGUAGAGGGUGAGAUACCCGUCUGCCUCUAGCUUUCUCCUCACGUACGGUAGCACCCUAAUGAGUCGCGUUCCUCGGAAUUGGAGCGCUAAGUAGGUGGUAGAUUUCACCUAAAGCUAAAUAUUGAACCGAGACCGAUAGUAAACAAGUACCGUGAGGGAAAGGUGAAAAGGACUUUGGAAAGAGAGUUAAAAGUGCCUGAAAUCGCUGGAAUGUAAGCGAAUGGAACUAGUUCCAGCCAGUGAGAUUGCAUGCAGAAGCUAGUCAGGCCCUUUGCUGUUUCGUCUACUUAUUUUAUAGGUGGAGUUCGUAGGGGUGCUCUUUGGUUAGUUGAUGUGUGCGAUACUCGCUGGAGGACGUCAACAUCAGUGCAAUUGUAAAGGGAUAUUGAAUGGGGUCUCUUUAGGGAUCCUUACGGGUCUCUAUACCCAUUUUAAUUGUUUACUUGUUUACUUUUCGUACUGAGGACAUAAUCUUAAGCGUUUGGAGGUGUCAGCGAUGUCACAAAUACCUUUCGUGUAUUAUUUUAUCGUGAAGGCUGGGUCCACUGCUUGCACUGUGGGCUUUUCUCAGCGGUAAGUGUCGUCGCUUAUCUUUCAUUCCACGAUGUUGACUAAAUGGUUCUAUCCGACCCGUCUUGAAACACGGACCAAGGAGUCUAACUUAUGCGCAAGUAUGUGGGUGCAAAACCCGUAUGCGAAAUGAAAGUGACAGUUGGUAUUAAUAUUUAUUUUAUUAUUGCUCCAACGACCGACCACGAUCUUCGGAAAGAGGUUUGAGUAAGAGCGUAGAGGUUAGGACCCGAAAGAUGGUGAACUAUGCCUGGGUAGGGCGAAGCCUGGGGAAACUCAGGUGGAGGCUCGUAGCGAUA
rnacentral:rRNA from 1 species